GGGACACUGGAUGGGAUGAGCACUGGGUGUUAUAUAUUGGCAAAUUGAUUUUAAAUAAAAUAUUAAAUAAAAAUUGGCUAAGAUGGAAAAUUGUGUAUACCACAACUUUAUCUUAUUUAUUUUUUUAUUUUUUGAAGAUCUUAUUUAUUUAUUCAUGAGAGACACACAGAGAGAGGAGCAGAGACACGGGCAGAGGGAGAAGCAGACUCCCUGCUGGGAGCCCGACGUGGGACUCCAUCCCAGGACCCUGGGAUCACGCCCUGAGUGGAAGACAGACACUUAACCAACUGGAGGCACGCUGGUGCCCCUACUUUACCACAAUUUUAAAUACUCAAGAUUUUAGAAAUCAUCUAAUGAAUCUGACAAGUUGAUUCUAAAAUUUAUAUGGAAGCAAAGUAGCCCAAGAAGAGCCUGUUGAAAAAGAACAAGUAGGAGAACUUUACCAGACACAGAGAUUGAGAGAGAGGCAGAGACACAGGAGGACGGUGCACCGGGAACCCGAUGCGGGACUUGAUCCCGGGACUCCAGGACUGCGCCCUGGGCCAAAGGCAGGCGCUAAACCGCUGAGCCACCCAGGGAUCCCCAAAUUUACCCUUCUAAAUGAUCCUCAGACUGCAAUUCCUAGUUUGCAAAUAAAAGAAUGCACUAUGCAUCAUACUUCAAGGAAAGAUGUUGAACUAACAUGCUUCUGGAUCUUUUCCUUGCUCCUUUCAACCUCCUUUAUAAUUUCCGCUACUAUGCAUACCAACGAGGUGAGACCCACAAGAAACAGCAAAUACACUAUCUCAGGUAAUUUAAUUAUUGUACCAUUUAUGGUGUUGGGCUUUCUUACUAAUACACGAAUAAAUUUAAUCAUUUCAAAGGCAUUCUGUUGGUUUAGAAGUUGAUCCCCAGGAGAGCAGUAUUUCAGCUACUGUUAUUUCUCUUAUCCCCUGUAGUGUAUGCAGCUCAGAUACUUUGUGUUACUGUUUUUGUAUCAAAUCUUUUGCCCAGGAUGCAAUCACUGUCAGAUCACUGUUCUUUUUCUUUUUGUGAUUGAAAAGCCUAUACUGCAAUUUGAAAUAAAUGUUUGCUUUUCUUAGUAA